AGUGAACGCUGGCGGUAGGCCUAACACAUGCAAGUCGAACGGCAGCACAGUAAGAGCUUGCUCUUACGGGUGGCGAGUGGAGGACGGGUGAGGAAUACAUCGGAAUCUACUUUUUCGUGGGGGAUAACGUAGGGAAACUUACGCUAAUACCGCAUACGACCUACGGGUGAAAGCAGGGGAUCUUCGGACCUUGCGCGAUUGAAUGAGCCGAUGUCGGAUUAGCUAGUUGGCGGGGUAAAGGCCCACCAAGGCGACGAUCCGUAGCUGGUCUGAGAGCAUGAUCAGCCCCACUGGAACUGAGACACGGGCCAGACUCCUACGGGAGGCAGCAGUGGGGAAUAUUGGACAAUGGGCGCAAGCCUGAUCCAGCCAUACCGCGUGGGUGAAGAAGGCCUUCGGGUGGGAAAGCCCUUUUGUUGGGAAAGAAAAGCAGCAGGUUAAUACCCCGCUGUUCUGACGGUACCCAAAGAAUAAGCACCGGCUAACUUCGUG
rnacentral:rRNA from 1 species